ensembl:lincRNA
GUCUCUCCUGGAGGUCCCCCACGCCCUUCACCACUCCUGUCCAUGGGAAGCACAGGAAGUGGACAAAGAGGCCCUACCUGGAGGGAGCUGCAUUUGGCCUUGGUGGGGCCUGAGCUCUGGACCCAGAAUAUAAAGAAUCUUUAUCUUUCAGCCACCUCAUCCUGACAGUGACAGGAGAACUGCCAGUCAGGGGAGGCAAAAAGGGACAGAGUGAGAGAGAAGCGAGAAGGCAGAAUGCAAAGGGAGAGAUCUGGUGACAAUGUCCUGGCAUCCUGGCACUCCAACAUGGCACGGUCUUGUUAUAUGAACAGGUUUCUGUCACAGCAGCACAAAACAGUCCAAGACAACAAAGUGCCUUGCAUGCCACAGUGAGGAAUUUGGGCCUUUUCUUGGGAUGCUGAGGAGCCUGUGGUUAGGUGGUGGACCACCUCAUCAAGUUUACAUUUUCACUUGUGUCCUCAUUUUGAUUUUUCACCACCACCCCUACCUGAGUCAGGAGUGGAGAUUAGCCCAAAUUAAAGCUCGGGUGACUCAGGAGAGGUGAGACGUGACAGCAGAGGGGGCUGAGGGAGGGGGAAGGUGGGCAGCUGAUGCCUCAUG